AUGACUUUGAUCUCCGUCCUCAUCUGGACUGUCCUCUGCUGCUGCUUCACAGAGUCCAGAGGCCAGUACACAGUGACUCAGCCUGCAGCAGUGAGAUCUACUCUGGAAGGAUCUGCAACCAUCAGCUGUAGAGUCAGUCAGAAUGUUUAUAAUUCAAAUCAUUUGUACUGGUACCAAGAGAGAGAUGGAGAAACUCCUAAACUUCUCAUUUACUGGGUUACCACUCGAGAAUCAGGGAUUCCAGAUCGUUUUACAGGCAGUGGAUCAAACUCUGACUUCACUCUGACCAUCAGUGGAGUUCAGGCUGAAGAUACAGCAGUUUAUUACUGUCAGAGUCAGCACUAUCCCAACAGUCAGUGGGUGUUCACACAGUGA